AUUAUUCCAUUAUUAACUAAUUAAGACUAAUUGAAAUAAAUUCAUAAAAAGGGGAUUAGGGUUACCUUUUUGGUGAGGCAUCAGAUUCUUUGAGAAGCUUCCUUCCCUUCGCAAAACGCAACGGCGGCCGAAGACAGACUCUCCGAUUCACCUCUCCCUUCUCCGCCAUGAACGAUCGGACACGCCAUCAGCUCAUCCCCUUGCGUCACUCGUCUCUUCGUGAUACGCGAAGAUUGAAGUUGAAGCCUCUGGAGAUUUUCCGAUAUUGAAGAUUGAGAGGAAAUUCUCAAUUGGAGAUUCACGGAUUGGAGGUUGUGAAGAGUUUUCUGUUGAAGCUUGUUCUUGAUGAAUGAAUAUUGUUCAAGAGUGAAUGAUUGAUGAACAUGGUGGAUUUGCGAUAGGAAGAUGAUGUCGUUGCGUAUCGCAGAUGAAGAUUCAGAAGUUGAUUGAAGUUGUUUUGUGGUAAUGAAUUGAAGAAGACCGAUGGUUGAAGAAUGUGUGAAUUCAGAGAAGAAGCUCGAAGAGAGGUUUGUUACGUUUUUCCAUUCGAGUUCUUUCCAAUUCUCUUACAUUUUGAAUCUGUUAUUUUGCUUUUUUUCUGUGAAUUUGGCGUGAUGAAGAAGGUUGGUGAAAGGUUGAAGAGAGAAGAACUGAAGAUGGUGGAGAAGAUGAGGUGAAAAAUGGAUUUUCGUGUUUGGAGGGCAGUUUGUUAGGAAUUGAAGGUUUUUUGUGAAUGAAUUGGAUCUGGAUGUUUUAGGGGAAAGAUGUUGCUGCUGGUCUUGGUUCACUUUGCUGCAAAUUAAUCGUUUUGGCACAACUUCAGUCUUGUUGGAAUGCAGCAGGGCUAUUUCGGUUUCAUUAGAUUCGCACUUGACAAUUGUUUUCCCAGAUCGACAAUAGCAUGAUAAGCUUUGGAAUUGAAGUAAGUAUAAGAGCUUCCGUUAUCGAAAAUAAGUUUAAGACCCUUAACUGUAGUAAGCUUUCCAUUGAUGGGCCGUCCUGCUAGACUCAAACUGAAACGUUUUUAUCUGUCAAACUAGGUGCAGUAACAUGGACAGCAUAUGGGAAGUUGUAUGAUAUGAAGAUGGAAGACAUAUGGCAAUAUAUGGUGGAUCGAUUUUACGUGGACAUGAGGACAAGAUGUGAAGCGCACUUGAAAUUUUCCUUUUUUUGAUGAAUUUGUGAAGUAUGUAUGUAGCAGGAUUCAAUUCGAUGAGGGGCUGAAGUGGACUCGGCUCGACAUAUUUCUGCUGACAGAAUUGGAGCAGCAGUCUGAGUUGAUUUUUCAAUGAUGAUGAAUGGCAUGUUUUUAUUGUAAUUUUUUGUAAACAAUGGUUUGAAUGAAUGCAUCUUGUAUGAAACUCAUAUGAAAUGCUUUGGCUCCAUGUUCAUUUCAAUAUGCUUCCCUGAGACAUCCUUAAAGACUUUUGUAAGAUUGAAUCAAUCAUGACAUAUGCUUCCAACUCACCCGUAUGGAUGAAAUCUGGCCUUGUACACUUGAAACAUGGUUAAAUUGAAAGUCUUGAAUAAUUGAAUAAUUGUGAAGGCCUCUUUUUCCAAUUGAACUCCUUUUUCAUGUUUCAACUGAACUUUCAAUCCCUUUUCCAAACUGGAUGAUUCACUCUUAGAUAGAAAAUGACAUCAUGUAAUGAAUCUUGAAUGAAACUCUUUGUAUCGAUUUAUGCCUGAAUCUUCGAAUAAAUUCUGAACAUAAUCAAAUAGUUCCAUGAUAUUUCAUACUUGCCAUGCCCUUGUAUUCCAACCCACCUCAACAACAAUGCAUUUGAAGGAAUCCUUCGAAGAUACGAAUUGAUUAUUGUUGAUGGACUACAAACUCAAACACCACUAAUAAGAAAACCUGACUCAGCG